GUGUUUCCAUGGUGACCCUGAAUCCCAUCAAAUUAAUAACGAGGAUUGAGCAUCACAAGUAUAGUCUCACGGAUCAUCUCAGAGAUGAUGUUCUUCACAUGAAAAUUUGCGCUCCGACCACUCUGUGCGCGAGUACCAAGAGUCUGUAGCUCUUAGUUGAGUGGAGCUGCCUCCCUUUCUACACCCAUGCUCUUGCUUUUGAUUUGUUUGUUUGGAUAAAAUGCAGCUACCAGGUCUUCCCUAGCUGGAAAUUUGUCCUAGUGUUGCCCAUCUGAGGCACUCCAACGCACUACAAGGAAGUCCAGAAGGAAAGACAACUCUGGAAUAGCGUUCCUCCGUGCGUUGUGCGGCAGGGCGCGCUGAAGGAGAGGAAGACAGAUCCCUCUGCUGAAACUCAGGUUUUCUUUUCAUAAGCUUUCUGGUAAAGUUCCCAAGAAACACACCCUAAAAGAAAUAGGAGCUUUCCUGGACCAGAGAGAUGUCAUACUCCACCCGAGUUAAGACCUAAAGGAAGUCGAUCUCCACAUUCAGCCAGCAUCCCGAGUGAGGACUUGCAAGUGGUCGUGGUGGUGAUAGCUGACACUCUCAGCACUUGGGAGGCGGAGGCAGGAGGAUCCGGAUCUGAAGAGAGAGCCAUGGAUCACAUCUCAAAACAUCAGCC
rnacentral:lncRNA from 1 species